rnacentral:rRNA from 1 species
AGUGAACGCUGGCGGCAGGCCUAACACAUGCAAGUCGAACGGAUGAACAGAGCGUGCUCGUUGUUUCAGCUGCGGAGUGGUGGGUAGUUCCUGGGAAUCUGGCUGUUUGUUUUUUAUAAGGUCCUGAAACGGGGACUAAUACGCCAAACGCCCUUACGGAGUACGUGUGGAAGCUUGGGACCUCCGGCUAUCAGAUGAGCCUAUGUCGGAUUAGCUAGUUGGUGGGGUAAAGGCCUACCAAGGCGACGAUCCGUAACUGGUCUGAGAGGAUGAUCAGUCACACUGGAACUGAGACACGGUCCAGACUCCUACGGGAGGCAGCAGUGGGGAAUAUUGGACAAUGGGCGCAAGCCUGAUCCAGCCAUGCCGCGUGUGUGAAGAAGGUCUUCGGGUUGUAAAGCCCUUUAGGUGGGGAGGAAAAGCAGUAGGUUAAUACCUCGCUGUUUUGACGUUACCCAAAGAAUAAGCACCGGCUAACUUCGUG